CACAGACAUACCUUGAAUCGACACUUCGGCUUUCAAACCCAGCAACAUCAAGUGGGGCUUUAAGCAUCCUCACCCCUCAGCAAUGUCGUCAAGUUCUUCACUGCCGAGAGCCAGUGUGCUUUGUUCCAAAUACCAGCAGGCCGACCACCGAAAUCUUGAAACCAUUGCACAUAGCUUUUGCCAGCAGUUCCGCCAGUGCUAAGAUGGAGUCGUAACCGUUAAAGCACUCCGGCCACGUCGGACAUCGUGCGUAAAGAAUAUUUGAGGCACUUGCCUAGUACAUCCUGCUCCCUGAAGCUGGCCACUGCAGCAUCGGAAAACGCAAGUUCAUGAUGCUCCGCAUAAAUACGACCAAUGGUGUCUGUCACAAACAGUUUUUGUUCCAUUGGAAAUUAUGACAGAGUGUCGAACUCUGUGCCUAAAGGAGUCUUAUGUUCUGUGCAGUUGUAGGUACAAGGUACUUUGGGGACUUAGACUGGCGUUGGAUCAUAUUGUUUAUUCGAUAGCCAGCGCUCGACUUUACCCUACUUCGUUAAUGACCCCAGGCUGGCCACGACUGUACGUGCAGCUUCAUGUACUUGUUUACCCCACAAUGCGAGCGAUGGUUAAACGCGACGAAGGACUGAUACGCCGCAGACGCAUGAAUUGCGGGAGGGGUUGUCGAAAGUAGUUUGACUAAUGGUAUCAGCCUCUUUGCGUUCGUACCGGCGGUAUUUAGAAGACGAAUCUACAUCACAGCCGCGACUAAAUACAAGGUUUCUGCCUUGCUCGUUCCUUGUACCCGGCUCCACGAGUGUAUCUGAGGGUGCUUGACAGCGCAUGCCGUCUCUAUCGUCAGCGAAACCGUCUUCAGAACAACCAACUACGCAGUUAUGCUGGAAACGAUAUUCAUGAAGGUCUCCCUUCAACCUCAAUUCAGAUGGGCAAAGUGGCAGGAAAGUUUUUUUGUACGAAGGCUAUCAGAUCUAGUGAAUGAAUUAGGAUUGCCAGAGAGGCAAAGGGAGUAUGUGAAUGUGUGAGCGAGAGAAAUACAUUUUGUUUGGAGUCUUUUUCGCGACUUGUGUAUGUUCUCUUUCGCUCGCGUGAGAAUAACGCCAAGAGUGCAGAGAAGCAGAGGUGGACCGUCCUUUUACACCUAUG
rnacentral:lncRNA from 1 species